AAAAUACUCCUUCCGUCCCAAAAUUCUCGUCUUAGAUUUGUCUAGAUACGGAUGUACCUAAUACUAAAACGUGACUUGAUACAACCGUAUCUAGACAAAUCUAAGACAAGAAUUUUGGGACGGAGGGAGUAUAUG
rfam:Triticum urartu cultivar G1812 contig966682, whole genome shotgun sequence.